UCCCGUUUAGCUCAGCUGGUAGAGCGCGUCACUAGUAACUUGGGCAUGGCUCGCUUACGCAAUGACGAGGUCAGUCGUUCAAGUCGGCUAAUGGGAA